rnacentral:rRNA from 1 species
UGCAAGUCGAACGGUGAAGCAGAGCUUGCUCUGUGGAUCAGUGGCGAACGGGUGAGUAACACGUGAGCAAUCUGCCCCUGACUCUGGGAUAAGCGCUGGAAACGGCGUCUAAUACCGGAUACGAGCUGCGAAGGCAUCUUCAGCAGUUGGAAAGAAUUUCGGUCAGGGAUGAGCUCGCGGCCUAUCAGCUUGUUGGUGAGGUAAUGGCUCACCAAGGCGUCGACGGGUAGCCGGCCUGAGAGGGUGACCGGCCACACUGGGACUGAGACACGGCCCAGACUCCUACGGGAGGCAGCAGUGGGGAAUAUUGCACAAUGGGCGCAAGCCUGAUGCAGCAACGCCGCGUGAGGGAUGACGGCCUUCGGGUUGUAAACCUCUUUUAGCAAGGAAGAAGCGAAAGUGACGGUACUUGCAGAAAAAGCGCCGGCUAACUACGUGCCAGCAGCCGCGGUAAUACGUAGGGCGCAAGCGUUAUCCGGAAUUAUUGGGCGUAAAGAGCUCGUAGGCGGUUUGUCGCGUCUGCUGUGAAAACUGGAGGCUCAACCUCCAGCCUGCAGUGGGUACGGGCAGACUAGAGUGCGGUAGGGGAGAUUGGAAUUCCUGGUGUAGCGGUGGAAUGCGCAGAUAUCAGGAGGAACACCGAUGGCGAAGGCAGAUCUCUGGGCCGUAACUGACGCUGAGGAGCGAAAGGGUGGGGAGCAAACAGGCUUAGAUACCCUGGUAGUCCACCCCGUAAACGUUGGGAACUAGUUGUGGGGUCCAUUCCACGGAUUCCG